rnacentral:snRNA from 1 species
UUGGAAAUACUAGCUGCACACACACCACGUCAGAACAAUACAGAGGAGAUUAGCAUGGCCUCAGCAGAGGACAGGCAAACAUGUGAGGCAUUCCAUAGUUAU